rnacentral:tRNA from 1 species
GGUCCCAUAGCUCAGUUGGUUAGAGCGUCGUACUAAUAUCUUCUCGUCAUCUAGAUAGGAAAUAUUAAGUAAAUGCGAAGGCCGAGAGUUCAAGCCUCUCUGGGACCA